rnacentral:rRNA from 1 species
GAUGAACGCUGGCGGCGUGCCUAAUACAUGCAAGUCGAGCGAACAGACGAGGAGCUUGCUGCUCUGACGUUAGCGGCGGACGGGUGAGUAACACGUGGAUAACCUACCUAUAAGACUGGUAAAACUUCGGGAAACCGGAGCAAAUACCGGAUAAUAUACUGCACCGCAGGGUUCAAUAGUGAAAGUCGGUUUUGCUGUCACUUAUAGCUGGAUCCGCGCGGCAUUAGCUAGUUGGUAAGGUAAAGGGUUAUCAAGGCGACGAUGCGUAGCCGAACUGCGUGGCGGAUAGGCCACCUGAGAGCGUGAACACGGUCAAGGCUACUACGGGAGGGAGCAGAAUGCUAUGUGCCGCAAUAGGGGAGAGUUUUACAGAGUGACGGCGCGUGAGUUGUAGAGGUCCUGGGAUCGUAAAACUCUGUUAUGAGUGAAGAACAAAUGUGUAAGUUACUAUAGCCUGCUUGACGGUAACUAAUCAGAAAGCAACGGCUAACUACGUG